AGCGAACGCUGGCGGCAGGCCUAAUACAUGCAAGUCGAACGCCCCUUCGGGGGAGUGGCGGACGGGUGAGUAACGCGUGGGAAUAUGCCCUAUGGUGCGGAACAACUGAGGGAAACUUCAGCUAAUACCGCAUGUGCCCUACGGGGGAAAGAUUUAUCGCCAUAGGAGUAGCCCGCGUUGGAUUAGCUAGUUGGUGGGGUAAUGGCUCACCAAGGCUACGAUCCAUAGCUGGUCUGAGAGGAUGAGCAGCCACACUGGGACUGAGACACGGCCCAGACUCCUACGGGAGGCAGCAGUAGGGAAUCUUGCGCAAUGGGCGAAAGCCUGACGCAGCCAUGCCGCGUGAAUGAUGAAGGUCUUAGGAUUGUAAAAUUCUUUCACCGGGGACGAUAAUGACGGUACCCGGAGAAGAAGCUCCGGCUAACUUCGUGCCAGCAGCCGCGGUAACAC
rnacentral:rRNA from 1 species